rnacentral:rRNA from 1 species
GAUGAACGCUGGCGGCGUGCCUAAUACAUGCAAGUCGAGCGAACAGACGAGGAUCUUGCUCCUCUGACGUUAGCGGCGGGCGGGUGAGUAACACGUGGAUAACCUACCUAUAAGACUGAGAUAACUUAGGGAAACCGGAUCUAAUACCGGAUAAUAUAUUGAACCGCAUGGUUCAAUAGUGAAAGACGGUUUUGCUGUCACUUAUAGAUGGUUCCGCGCCGCAUUAGCUAGUUGGUAAGGUAACGGCUUACCAAGGCAACGAUGCGUAGCCGACCUGAGAGGGUGAUCGGCCACACUGGAACUGAGACACGGUCCAGACUCCUACGGGAGGCAGCAGUAGGGAAUCUUCGGCAAUGGGCGAAAGCUUGACGGAGCAACGCCGCGUGAGUGAUGAAGGUCUUCGGAUCGUAAAACUCUGUUAGUAGGGAAGAACAAAUGUGUAAGUAACUAUGCACGUCUUGACGGUACCUAAUCAGAAAGCCACGGCUAACUACGUG